rnacentral:tRNA from 1 species
GAAUAUAUCGUCUAAUGGUUAAGACUAUGGUCUUUUAAACCAUCUAUAUUGGUUCAAUUCCAAUUAUAUUCA